GUAUAAAUCAUCUGGGGGUCUUGUUAAAAUGUAGGUUUUGAUUUAGCGCUUCUGGGGUGGGACCUAAUAUUCUGCAUUUCUAACAAGCUCCCAGUUGAUAGGGAU
rnacentral:pre_miRNA from 1 species